GAUGAACGCUGGCGGCGUGCCUAAUACAUGCAAGUCGAGCGAACGGACGAGAAGCUUGCUUCUCUGAUGUUAGCGGCGGACGGGUGAGUAACACGUGGAUAACCUACCUAUAAGACUGGGAUAACUUCGGGAAACCGGAGCUAAUACCGGAUAAUAUUUUGAACCGCAUGGUUCAAAAGUGAAAGACGGUCUUGCUGUCACUUAUAGAUGGAUCCGCGCUGCAUUAGCUAGUUGGUAAGGUAACGGCUUACCAAGGCAACGAUGCAUAGCCGACCUGAGAGGGUGAUAGGCCACACUGGAACUGAGACACGGUCCAGACUCCUGCGGGAGGCAGCAGUAGGGAAUCUUCCGCAAUGGGCGAAAGCCUGACGGAGCAACGCCGCGUGAGUGAUGAAGGUCUUCGGAUCGUAAAACUCUGUUAUUAGGGAAAAACAUAUGUGUAAGUAACUGUGCACAUCUUGACGGUACCUAAUCAGAAAGCCACGGCUAACUACGUG
rnacentral:rRNA from 1 species